rnacentral:tRNA from 1 species
GCCCGCAUAGCUCAGUCGGUAGAGCAUCAAACUUUUAAUCUGAGGGUCGCGGGUUCGAGUCCUUCUCCGGGCG